AAACUUCCUUCAGCAGCUCAAAGCAUUUUCUGUUGCUGCGCUUCAUCUCACCUGUCUAUGUUCAGCCUGCUGCCCAAAUCUGCCGCUUCUUCUGAACCUGAAUAUCACAACUGUGUCAGACGGCAUUGGGGAAAAUGUGCCUACUAAAUCUGUCGCUGUCUCAUGGGAUAUUUUUAGCAGAAGAAAUUUUAAUCACUCUAAUCUCAGGAAAAUAGUCCUGCAGGCAAAAAAAAUUCUCAUUUAUCUAAGUAUUAAUUUCUACUGAUGAGAGUCAGAGAACCAUAAAAUGAAACUUUUAGUUCUGAGUAAAUUGAAUUUGAAAUUCAGGUUUAAAAAAUGUUUUAAAGAAAUGCUCAAUAUUUGGAAGGAACGAGGAGAAGGCACAUGUGCUACGUGCUGCAGAAGCAAAGCUUACCUCAGUUUUCAGACAGAUCUUCCAACCAGACUUCCCUUUCUUUAGAAGGCCUUGAGACCAAGCUGCUGGAGGCACCAGGCUGGAUAUACAGCUUCCUCACCAUCAGUUCAAGGUUAAACACAACACCGAGAGCUUGACAGAAGUGGUUUGUAUAAAAAACACCCUACCGAAAACUAGCCCCAAAGUGCUGGUGUUGUGUCAGAAAGCUUAUGUACAAAGCACUCAGACAAAAUACACCUUAUAAAAAUGUGUCGAUAUCUUAUGUCUCCUUAAUCAAGGCUCUUUGAUGAUAUAUUUGGACCUCUGAGUCAACAAUAGUCUUUCCCCUUAAAAGGUUUGCUUCUCUCCUCCAGCCAGCCUCCUUCUUCACACCCUUGUAUAGGUGCUUUUCUAAAUGACUUCCACUAUAAGUCUUCUUGCAUGUUAAUUACUGUAAGAUGGAUUCCUGAAUGUUAAUGAUAUUUCAAUAUAUUAAAUCUGUCAAUAAUUAUGGUGGGGUUUUUUGCCUCACUCCUUUAGUGAGAAUGAUUUGCAUUCAGUGCACUAAGUUCUAAUGCUUGACAGCUGAAGCUCAAUAUUUUUUGUAGGUUCAGUCACUGAAAGCUUCUAUUAAUUUAGGCAGUCAUUGAAAAAAAAAAUCUCAAAGUAAUAAUAUAAAGAACUAAGAUCAUAUUCACUAGAUACAUCCACAGAGGAAAAUCAUGUUCUUCAGUGUAUUUAUGCAUAAGUUUACCAUUUAUUUUAUUUCCAAUUCUCUGAUGUUUUUUCUGUGGUUCUUAUCAAACUUGUGACUCAGUGCUUCCUUAAUGAAUGUCUUUGAAGCUAUAGUCACCUUUCUGCUGGUUUAGGGAAUUUAAAAUAAAGCUGCUUUGCUAGCAGCCUAGUAGCAGUGUUAAAUGUGCAUUUCCAUUGCCACCACUUUUAAUGGUCUAUCCAGCCUUGUUCAAAGUGAGAGGAAGUUUUACAUCUACUAGAAAUUGAAGUGACUGGAAACAAUUUAUUGAGUCUUUAUCCACUCAGCUUGUCCAAUUCUUUCUUGACUGACUAGAAACUCAUGAUGAAAAUCACUAUCCAAGAUUUUUGCUCCUGAAUUUGAGUACCAUUUCCAUGAAUGAGCUUACUGACCCUCAGCAUUAUGUUUUGACUCAGUCUUAUACCUGAUGCCUUUAAAAGCAUCUCUGCAUUUGCAGUAUGUCACUUACUAGCAGUAAAUGAAAGCACUAUGACAUAAAGAAGAAAAUUGAGUAUUUCAAUUUGAGUAUCUCAAAAAAGUAAACAUCAAAAAGUUUUGACUCUGUCUUAUACAUAAUGCUUUACAUAUGCUUUCUUGCUCUUCUGUGUGUAUCAUUCAUUACUGAUGAACAAAAGCACUACAACUUUGGAAAGAAAAUUUAAGUCUCUAAAAUACUAAGCUUGAAAAAUGAAGAUAGGAUAUCUCAGAGGUAAUAAUUACUGAGAAUGGGAAACAUAGUGUGGUAGGGUUGGAAGUAUGGCUCAGAAGUGUUUGUACUUUUCCAUUAUGUAAGUCAAGGAAAAUAUUACCAACUGGAAGAAUUAUAAAGCAAUGAAGCAAGUCUCCUUUCAAACAGCGUGUUUUAUUUGAGUAUGAGGAUGCUCUGAGAAAUUAAAUUGCAUAUACCAGGACUUUUUGUGUACCUUAGUUACAUCAAAACAACUGUGUAAAUUUUUCAUAAAGUGUCUGUUAGAAGAUAUGUAUGUAAUUAAAGCCUACCACUGGAUUAGGGUGUUUGUAUGGUAGGACCACCACUACCCAGCACUGCCCUCAGAGUUCAGUGUAAUCAAUUCUUGCCCAUAAUACCUUAUAGUGACUAUAAACUCUUUUAGGACAGGGCCUUUUUUUUUUUUUUAGUGCUUAUACUUAUGCUGAAAAAAUAUGGGUCUGAUGCCUCUACAGGUUUCAACAACAUAAAUAGCUCUUGACACUGCUUUCAACAAUAUGGUUUAACUGAGAAACCACAGAUGCAUUGAAAGUAUUUUAGCUUGUAUUCUGAACUAAAAGAGUUCAAAAGGUGGGUUAUGUGAUAGUGUGUGUGGAAGGAUAAGUUAAGGCAGCAAAAUGGUGCUAUCCAGUGCAGCCUCAGUACUGCAGCAUUUAUCUAAAAUGAUUUGAAUGUACGACCAGCAAGGGAAAAUCUGCUGUUACUGAGCCUGUUAGUUUUGAAAAAAGAUGGAAUUUGGCAUGAGCCAGGCAAGAAGAACUGGCCUUGGGAAGUUUUAGUGAGCAAAAAAGAGUUGAAGUAUUACAUUUGGUUUCCUUUCUUCACCUUUGCAACCCCGUCCUGAGAGUCCUUGUGAACAUGGAAGUAGUCACCUAAUCUUCCAUUGAUUUUUUUUUAUGUGUUACAUCAGUAUUUGCAGGUUGAGGGCUUAAUGGAUGAGGUCUGUACCUGUUAUUAAUUUGUCUCAAGAACUGAAAGUGAACGAUAAGGAUUUUUGCCAUGAGUCUGUAUAGAUUGAUGCAUUUUUGCUGUUCAUGUCAAAACAACUUGUAACAGAAAUUCUUCUGCAAUGCAUAACAAGCAUAAAACAUUUUAAUGUUGUCAACAAUAAAUAAAAAUGAGUCUUACAACCUUA